UACGUAGGGUGCAGGCGUUAAUCGGAAUUACUGGGCGUAAAGCGUGCGCAGGCGGUUUGCUAAGACAGGUGUGAAAUCCCCGGGCUUAACCUGGGAACUGCGCUUGUAACUGGCAAGCUAGAGUGUGGCAGAGGGGGGUGGAAUUCCAGGUGUAGCAGUGAAAUGCGUAGAUAUCUGGAGGAACACCGGUGGCGAAGGCGGCAUCCUGGACCGGUAUUGACGCUGAGGCGCGAAAGCUAGGGGAGCAAACGGG
rnacentral:rRNA from 1 species